UACGGGGGGGGCAAGCGUUGUUCGGAAUUACUGGGCGUAAAGGGCGCGUAGGCGGUUCGCUAAGUUGGAUGUGAAAACUCUGGGCUCAACCCAGAGCCUGCAUCCAAAACUGGCGGGCUAGAGUUCUGGAGGGGUAGCGGAAUUCCUGGUGUAGCGGUGAAAUGCGUAGAUAUCAGGAGGAACACCGGUGGCGAAGGCGGCUACCUGGACAGAAACUGACGCUGAGGCGCGAAAGCUAGGGGAGCAAACAGG
rnacentral:rRNA from 1 species